AUUGAACGCUGGCGGCAUGCUUUACACAUGCAAGUCGAACGGUAACAGGCCGCAAGGUGCUGACGAGUGGCGAACGGGUGAGUAAUGCAUCGGAACGUGCCCAGUCGUGGGGGAUAACGCAGCGAAAGCUGCGCUAAUACCGCAUACGAUCUAUGGAUGAAAGCGGGGGACCGUAAGGCCUCGCGCGAUUGGAGCGGCCGAUGUCAGAUUAGGUAGUUGGUGGGGUAAAGGCUCACCAAGCCAACGAUCUGUAGCUGGUCUGAGAGGACGACCAGCCACACUGGGACUGAGACACGGCCCAGACUCCUACGGAGGCAGCAGUGGGGAAUUUUGGACAAUGGGCGCAAGCCUGAUCCAGCAAUGCCGCGUGCAGGAAGAAGGCCUCGGGUUGUAACUAGCUUUGUACGGAACGAAAAGGACGUCUGGUUAAUACCUGGGCGACGAUGACGGUACCGUAAGAAUAAGCA
rnacentral:rRNA from 1 species